rnacentral:rRNA from 1 species
UACGGAGGGAGCUAGCGUUGUUCGGAAUUACUGGGCGUAAAGCGCGCGUAGGCGGCUCGGUCAGUCGGGUGUGAAAUCCCUGGGCUCAACCUGGGAACUGCAUUCGAUACUGCCGAGCUAGAGUGUGGGAGAGGGUAGUGGAAUUCCCGGUGUAGCGGUGAAAUGCGUAGAUAUCGGGAGGAACAUCAGUGGCGAAGGCGACUGCCUGGCCCAACACUGACGCUGAGGUGCGAAAAGCGUGGGUAGCAAACAGG